rnacentral:rRNA from 1 species
CGGCGGACGGGUGAGUAACGCGUGGGGAACCUGCCCUAUACAGGGGGAUAACAGUUAGAAAUGACUGCUAAUACCGCAUAAGCGCACGGAGCCGCAUGGCCCUGAGUGAAAAACGAUAGUGGUAUAGGAGGAACCCGCGUCUGAUUAGGUAGUUGGUGGGGUAACGGCCCACCAAGCCGACGAUCAGUAGCCGACCUGAGAGGGUGACCGGCCACAUUGGGACUGAGACACGGCCCAAACUCCUACGGAAGGCAGCAG